GGAGUUUGGACCGUGUCUCAGUUCCAAUGUGGGGGACCUUCCUCUCAGAACCCCUACUGAUCGUAGCCUUGGUGGGCCGUUACCCCGCCAACAAGCUAAUCAGACGCAUCCCCACUCCUUAACCGACAAAUUACUUUGGUCCGGGUCAGAUGUCCUCGCUGGACCACAUCGGGCGAUUAAUCCGGUUUUCUACC
rnacentral:rRNA from 1 species